rnacentral:rRNA from 1 species
AUUGAACGCUGGCGGCAGGCCUAACACAUGCAAGUCGAGCGAACAAAGGGAGCUUGUUCUCGUAUUACGCGGGGGACGGGCGAGUAAUGCCCAGGAAUCUACCUGGUCGAGGGGACUAAGGUCAGGAAAGGGGCCCUAAUCCCGUAUCGGACAAGAGGGGGAAAGGGGGGGAUCUUUGGUCAUAACGCUUUCAGCUGACCCUAGGUCGGAUUAGCUAGUUGGUGGGGUAAAGGCCUACCAAGGCGACGAUCCGUAACUGGUCUGAGAGGCUGAUCAGUCACACUGGAACUGAGACACGGUCCAGACUCCUACGGGAGGCAGCAGUGGGGAAUAUUGGACAAUGGGCGAAAGCCUGAUGCAGCCAUGCCGCGUGAGUGAAGAAGGUCUUCGGAUUGUAAAGCACUUUAAGUAGGGAAGAAGGGCAGUGAGUUAAUACCUUGCUGUUUUGACGUUACCAACAGAGAAAGCACCGGCUAACUUCGUG